UACGUAGGGGGCAAGCGUUGUCCGGAUUUAUUGGGCGUAAAGAGCGCGCAGGCGGUCGUUCAAGUCGAGUGUGAAAGCCCCCGGCUCAACUGGGGAGGGUCAUUCGAUACUGAUCGACUUGAAGGCAGGAGAGGGAAGUGGAAUUCCCGGUGUAGUGGUGAAAUGCGUAGAGAUCGGGAGGAACACCUGUGGCGAAGGCGGCCCCCUGGGCCGGCCCUGACACUGAGACGCGAAGGCGUGGGGAGCGAACGGG
rnacentral:rRNA from 1 species